CCUACGGGAGGCAGCAGUGGGGAAUAUUGCACAAUGGGGGAAACCCUGAUGCAGCGACGCCGCGUGAGUGAAGAAGUAAUUCGUUAUGUAAAGCUCUAUCAGCAGGGAAGAAAAUGACGGUACCUGAGUAAGAAGCCCCGGCUAACUACGUGCCAGCAGCCGCGGUAAUACGUAGGGGGCAAGCGUUAUCCGGAUUUACUGGGUGUAAAGGGAGCGUAGACGGCAGUGCAAGUCUGGAGUGAAAGGCGGGGGCUCAACCCCCGGACGGCUCUGGAAACUGUACGGCUGGAGUGCGGGAGAGGUAAGGGGAAUUCGUGGUGUAGCGGGGAAAGGGGUGGAUAUUGGGGGGAACACAGGGGGGGAGGGGGGCUUAUGGAACGGAAACGGAGGUGGGGGCUGAAAGGGGUGGGGGGCAAACGGGAUAGAUACCCGAGUAGUC
rnacentral:rRNA from 1 species